rnacentral:rRNA from 1 species
AGCGGCGGACGGGUGAGUAACACGUGGAUAACCUACCUAUAAGACUGGGAUAACUUCGGGAAACCGGAGCUAAUACCGGAUAAGAUUUUGAACCGCAUGGUUCAAUAGUGAAAGACGGCCUUGCUGUCACUUAUAGAUGGAUCCGCGCCGUAUUAGCUAGUUGGUAAGGUAACGGCUUACCAAGGCAACGAUACGUAGCCGACCUGAGAGGGUGAUCGGCCACACUGGAACUGAGACACGGUCCAGACUCCUACGGGAGGCAGCAGUAGGGAAUCUUCCGCAAUGGGCGAAAGCCUGACGGAGCAACGCCGCGUGAGUGAUGAAGGUCUUCGGAUCGUAAAACUCUGUUAUCAGGGGAGAACAAACGUGUAAGUAACUGUGCACGUCUUGACGGUACCUGAUCAGAAAGCCACGGCUAACUACGUGCCAGCAGCCGCGGUAAUACGUAGGUGGCAAGCGUUAUCCGGAAUUAUUGGGCGUAAAGCGCGCGUAGGCGGUUUUUUAAGUCUGAUGUGAAAGCCCACGGCUCAACCGUGGAGGGUCAUUGGAAACUGGAAAACUUGAGUGCAGAAGAGGAAAGUGGAAUUCCAUGUGUAGCGGUGAAAUGCGCAGAGAUAAGGAGGAACACCAGUGGCGAAGGCGACUUUCUGGUCUGUAACUGACGCUGAUGCGCGAAAGCGUGGGGGAUCAAACAGGAUUAGAUACCCUGGUAGUCACGCCGUAAACGAUGAGUGCUAAGUGU